GACGAACGCUGGCGGCGUGCUUAACACAUGCAAGUCGAGCGGUAAGGCCCUUUCGGGGUACGACGAGCGGCGAACGGGUAGAGUAACACGUGGGUGACCUCGCCCUCAGCUCUGGGAGUAAGCCUGGGAAACCGGGUACUAAUACUGGAUAUGACUCCAUGACGCAUGUUGGUGGGGUGGAAAGCCUUGUGCGGCUGAGGAUGGGCCCGCGGCCUAUCAGCUUGUUGGGUGGGGUGAGGCCUACCAAGGCGACGACGGGUAGCCGGCCUGAGAGGG
rnacentral:rRNA from 1 species